AUUGCUUCUUGGCCUUUUGGCUAAGAUCAAGUGUAGUGUGUGUGAAGUGGUAUUUAUUAAUAGAUCCUUAUAUGGGACACUACUUUGGUAUUCCAGGGCUAAAGGUAGAUCAGAAUUAAAAAAAACCCACAGGUUUUUUUUACACAACCAUAACAGAGGCCAAAAUUUC
rnacentral:snRNA from 1 species